CCCAGCCCCGGCGCCCCCGCAGGCGGGCGGGCGGGCGGCAGCUCCGCGCGGCGGUACCUGCGCUGGAAGUCGGUCCGGAAGGGCGCCAGUGUGCUUCUAAGUUCUGAGCUUGGCAGUCUUCCUGAUGCAGACAAGAGAUGCUUUAUAAGUCAUCACAAGAGGCCUUCACAAGAAGAACAGUGAUGUUUAUGUUGAGGGGUUCUAAUUCCUCAGCUUUGACACUCCUGCAGCUGUCUCCUCAGCAGCUCUGUGUUGUCAUCUGAUUGAACACAUGCUCAAGGAACACUUACAAAGGGAGCUGAGUCAUCCUCUAAAUCUGGACCAUCAUCGUCUGAACACAAAACCUUCCUCUGCAGGACUUAAGG